rnacentral:rRNA from 1 species
UAAUACGUAGGGGGCGAGCGUUGUCCGGAUUUAUUGGGCGUAAAGAGCUCGUAGGCGGCUCAGCAAGUCGGCCGUGAAAACCUGAGGCUCAACCUCAGGACGCCGGUCGAAACUGCUGUGGCUAGGGUUCGGUAGAGGAGAGUGGAAUUCCCGGUGUAGCGGUGAAAUGCGCAGAUAUCGGGAGGAACACCAGUAGCGAAGGCGGCUCUCUGGGCCGACACCGACGCUGAGGAGCGAAAGCUAGGGGAGCGAACAGGAUUAGAUACCCUGGUAGUCCUAGCCGUAAACGUUGGGAACUAGGUGUGGCGGAUUCAUUGACAUCUGCCGUGCCGAAGCUAACGCAUUAAGUUCCCCGCCUGGGGAGUACGGUCGCAAGGCUA